rnacentral:rRNA from 1 species
UACGUAGGGUGCGAGCGUUGUCCGGAAUUACUGGGCGUAAAGAGCUCGUAGGUGGUUUGUCGCGUUGUUCGUGAAAACUCACAGCUUAACUGUGGGCGUGCGGGCGAUACGGGCAGACUGGAGUACUGCAGGGGAGACUGGAAUUCCUGGUGUAGCGGUGGAAUGCGCAGAUAUCAGGAGGAACACCGGUGGCGAAGGCGGUCUGCUGGGCAGUUGCUGACACUGAGGCGCGACAGCGUGGGGAGCAAACAGG